CACGUAGGGGGCAAGCGUUGUCCGGAUUUAUUGGGCGUAAAGAGCUCGUAGGCGGUUCGGUAAGUCGGGUGUGAAACCUCCAGGCUCAACCUGGAGAUGCCACCUGAUACUGCUGUGACUAGAGUCCGGUAGGGGACCACGGAAUUCCUGGUGUAGCGGUGAAAUGCGCAGAUAUCAGGAGGAACACCAGUGGCGAAGGCGGUGGUCUGGGCCGGUACUGACGCUGUAGAGCGAAAGCGUGGGGAGCGAACAGG
rnacentral:rRNA from 1 species